GACGAACGCUGGCGGCGUGCUUAACACAUGCAAGUCGUACGGUAAGGCCCUUUCGGGGGUACACGAGUGGCGAACGGGUGAGUAACACGUGAGUAACCUGCCCACAACUUUGGGAUAACGCUAGGAAACUGGUGCUAAUACUGGAUAUGUGCUCCUGCUGCAUGGUGGGGGUUGGAAAGCUCCGGCGGUUGUGGAUGGACUCGCGGCCUAUCAGCUUGUUGGUGGGGUAGUGGCCUACCAAGGCGGCGACGGGUAGCCGGCCUGAGAGGGUGACCGGCCACAUUGGGACUGAGAUACGGCCCAGACACCUACGGGAGGCAGCAGUGGGGAAUAUUGCACAAUGGGCGCAAGCCUGAUGCAGCAACGCCGCGUGCGGGAGGACGGCCUUCGGGUUGUAAACCGCGUUCAGCAGGGACGAAGCUUUUUGUGACGGUACCUGCAGAAGAAGCACCGGCUAACUACGUG
rnacentral:rRNA from 1 species